AAGCAUGAUGGGAGAAACAGCACUCUGGGGUUCAGCGCUUCCGUAUGUUCCUAAGCUCACUGAUUCAGGUCCAUUAAGUGCUCACAGAGAAAUAAGCUACUAGACCCUGAGAAUACACAAACAGCUCUACAGAGCUGGCCCACAGUGAAGAGCAUCCUACAUCCAGCAAGUGCUGAGGCCUCUUUCCAGCACCGGUGUGAAGAUGAACCACGAUGGAGGCGGGUCUCCGGCCCUCAGCCAGGAUCUCAAACAACUACAGCUCCGGCUGAGGAUGCUCAGAACUGGGGGUGUCCUGAAAGCCCAGAGUCAGAAUCCUCCUGCCAAGCCCCUCCCACAUUCCCAACUCAGAGAAGCCCUCACAUUAUAAAUGGCUGUCGAUUUCUCCUGCUGAGAUUGGAGAUAAUUUUACUCAGACAGAUAAAAUCCACAUUGCCAUCAUCAUAAAA